UACAGAGGUCCCAAGCGUUGUUCGGAUUCACUGGGCGUAAAGGGUGCGUAGGUGGCGUGGUAAGUCGGGUGUGAAAUUUCGGAGCUUAACUCCGAAACUGCAUUCGAUACUGCCGUGCUUGAGGACUGGAGAGGAGACUGGAAUUUACGGUGUAGCAGUGAAAUGCGUAGAGAUCGUAAGGAAGACCAGUGGCGAAGGCGGGUCUCUGGACAGUUCCUGACACUGAGGCACGAAGGCCAGGGGAGCAAACGGG
rnacentral:rRNA from 1 species